AAAUAUGUGAGUUUAUAAAAACAGUUGAGGAUAAAUUUCCAAAACAGAAUUGGUUCUUCUUUCACUUUUUUAAGAUUAUUAAUAUUAAAUACAUUUUUUAUAUCCUACAUGAGAAUCUAGAAUUCUUAAGACAUUCUAAAUAUAUUUCAUUAUUGAAUAAUAGGAAGUAAAACUACAAAUCUGUGAAAGAACCGCAAUGGAAAAUGUUUCAUGUAGUUUUAUUUUGAAAGCACAUAUUUACACUUCCUGUAGCCAUAUUGCGCUGACAGGAAAAGGUUUGGCAACAGGAAAUUGGAAAGGUUUGGUGUUGGUGGCAGACAGGUUCUGAAUGGGUCUGGAGGAAGGCAGUGGAAUAUUUGACCUUUUCCUUCCUGCAGUCUCCUUUAGAGUAUACUCUCCUAAUGUCAGCCAUGACCAAAAGAGAUUGAAUUACAAUUCCAUGGAACAAGGAUAUAUAUAUUUCUCUUUUUUUCUUCUUUUUUUUCUCAAUUGGACAUCAAACUGGGUCAGAACUUCAACUUGUUUCAUCACUGGUUUAGAUGACAUCCCUAUGACAGACUAAGCAACCUGUCCAGGGUGUACGCCGCCUUUGCCCAACAAUAUCCGGGACAGGCUCCAGCAACUCCAUGACCCAGACCGGGAUAUAGCAGCCACCCUCCUGGAAGUUGAAGAACCCUCGUGAGCACCUGUCACACUUGGGUCCACUGACACCUGGCUGACAGCGACACUGACCCAA